UACGAAGGGGGCUAGCGUUGCUCGGAAUGACUGGGCGUAAAGGGCGCGUAGGCGGAUGGCACAGUCAGAUGUGAAAUUCCCGGGCUUAACCUGGGGGCUGCAUUUGAUACGUGUUGUCUAGAGUGAGGAAGGGGUUGUGGAAUUCCCAGUGUAGAGGUGAAAUUCGUAGAUAUUGGGAAGAACACCGGUGGCGAAGGCGGCAACCUGGUCCUUGACUGACGCUGGGGCGCGAAAGCGUGGGGAGCAAACAGG
rnacentral:rRNA from 1 species